UAAGUAUAAGCAAUUAUACCGCGAAACUGCGAAUGGCUCAUUAAAACAGUUAUAGUUUAUUUGAUGGUCAUUCAUUACAUGGAUAACUUUGGAAAUUCUAGAGCUAAUACAUGCGCCCAAACCCGACUUCUUGGAAGGGUUGUGUUUAUUAGAUACAGAACCAACCCAGGCCCUGCCUGGUCUUGUGGUGAUUCAUAAUAACCGAACGAAUCGCAUUGCAUCAGCUGGCGAUAGAUCAUUCAAGUUUCUGACCUAUCAGUUUCCGACGGUAGGGUAUUGGCCUACCGUGGCAUUGACGGGUAACGGAGAAUUAGGGUUCGAUUCCG
rnacentral:rRNA from 14 species